rnacentral:rRNA from 1 species
CAGUCGCCACGGUAAUACAGAGGGUGCAAGCGUUAAUCGGAAUUACUGGGCGUAAAGCGCGCGUAGGUGGUUCGCCAAGUUGGAUGUGAAAUCCCCGGGCUCAACCUGGGAACUGCAUCCAAAACUGGCGAGCUAGAGUAUGGUAGAGGGUGGUGGAAUUUCCUGUGUAGCGGUGAAGUGCGUAGAUAUAGGAAGGAACAUCAGUGGCGAAGGCGACCACCUGGACUGAUACUGACACUGAGGUGCGAAAGCGUGGGGAGCAAACAGGAUUAGAUACCCCAGUAGUCCCUGUCUCUUAUAC